AACGAACGCUGGCGGCAUGCCUAACACAUGCAAGUCGAACGAGUGCCUUCGGGUGCUAGUGGCGCACGGGUGCGUAACGCGUGGGAAUCUGCCCUUGGGUUCGGAAUAACCGUUGGAAACGACGGCUAAUACCGGAUGAAGUCGAUAAGACCAAAGAUUUAUCGCCUGAGGAUGAGCCCGCGUAGGAUUAGCUAGUUGGUGUGGUAAGAGCGCACCAAGGCGACGAUCCUUAGCUGGUCUGAGAGGAUGAUCAGCCACACUGGGACUGAGACACGGCCCAGACUCCUACGGGAGGCAGCAGUGGGGAAUAUUGGACAAUGGGCGCAAGCCUGAUCCAGCAAUGCCGCGUGAGUGAUGAAGGCCUUAGGGUUGUAAAGCUCUUUUACCCGGGAUGAUAAUGACAGUACCGGGAGAAUAAGCUCCGGCUAACUCCGUGCCAGCCGCCGCCGUAA
rnacentral:rRNA from 1 species